AUGAUGAGGCUCAUGGAGCUUGAAAAAUGUGUGGAGCCAGGAUACUUGCCAUUUACUGAGAAGGAUGUGAGGAAUUUGAUUCAGUCUUUCAGGAAAUUAGAUCCGGAGGAAGAGAGCAUAGACUUGUUAAGAAUGUGCAGAAACAUAAAAGAGAAAGACCCGAACUUCAAAUUUGAAUACACACUUGAUUCAAACAAUAGGUUAGAGAAUAUAGCUUGGUCAUAUGCAUCAUCAAUCCAGUCAUAUGAUAUCUUUGGUGAUGCAGUGGUAUUUGAUACAACACAUCGCCUGACUGCAUUUGACAUGCCUCUUGGGAUAUGGGUUGGAGUGAAUAAUUAUGGAAUGCCAUGUUUCUUCGGUUGUGUGCUUUUACGAGAGGAAAAUUUGAGGUUAUUAUCGUGGGCAUUGAAGGCAUUCUUAGGGUUUAUGAAUGGGAAGGCUCCACAAACAAUUCUAACUGACCAAAAUAUGUGCCUCAAAGAAGCAAUAGCAAUGGAAAUGCCAACAACAAAACAUGCUCUUUGCAUAUGGAUGACUGUGGCAAAGUUUCCAUCCUGGUUUAAUGCUGUUCUGGGAGAACGUUAUACUGAGUGGAAGGCAGAGUUCCAUCGACUCUAUAACCUGGAGUCAAUUGAGGAUUUUGAGCUGGGUUGGAGGGACAUGGUUAAUUCUUUUGAUAGGCACCUUGCCAACUUGUAUCCCUUGCGCACUCUUUGGGCAUUACCAUACUUGAGAAGCCAUUUCUUUGCAGGAAUGACUGCAGCUGGUUAUUCAAAAUCAAUUAAUGCUUUCAUACAACGAUUUCUGAGCGCACAGACUCGGCU
rnacentral:misc_RNA from 1 species